AUUGAACGCUGGCGGCAUGCUUUACACAUGCAAGUCGAACGAGGGGGGAACGGGGGGGUAAUAUAUCGGAACGGACCGAGGAAUGGGGGAUAAUAAAGAGAAAGGUUGGCUAAUACCGCAUAUAAUUGGAGCGGCCGAUAACUGAUUAGCUAGUUGGUGGGGUAAAGGCCUACCAAGGCGACGAUCAGUAGCGGGUCUGAGAGGACAAUCCGCCACACUGGAACUGAGACACGGCCCAGACUCCUACGGGAGGCAGCAGUGGGGAAUUUUGGACAAUGGGGGCAACCCUGAUCCAGCCAUGCCGCGUGUAUGAAGAAGGCCUUCGGGUUGUAAAGUACUUUCGUUAGGGAAGCGGUACCUAAAGAAUAAGCACCGGCUAACUACGUGCCAGCAGCCGCGGUAAUUC
rnacentral:rRNA from 1 species